rnacentral:RNase_P_RNA from 1 species
UGAGCCGGCCGGGUGGUCGCGGCCCGGGUCGGAAGACGGCGCCGGGUCGAGGAAGGUCGGGACUCCGCAGGGCAGGGUGCUGGCUAACAGCCAGUCGGGGCGACCCGCAGGACAGUGCCACAGAGAACAGACCGCCGAUGGCCCGCUCCCGAAACGGUGCAGGCACAGGCAAGGGUGAAACGGUGCGGCAAGAGCGCACCAGCGGUCGGGGUGACCCGGCCGGCUCGGUAAACCCCACCCGGAGCAAGGCCAAACGUGGGACAUGGGCGGCCCGUCCGCCGGCGUCGAACGUCGGCAGUCCCCAGGUAGGCCGCAUAGAUGGAUGGCCACCGGUGCCUCCGGGCACUACAGAAUCCCGCCUACAGGCCGGCUCACCGU